GACGAACGCUGGCGGCGUGCUUAACACAUGCAAGUCGAGCGGUAAGGCCUUUCGGGGUACACGAGCGGCGAACGGGUGAGUAACACGUGGGUGAUCUGCCCUGCACUUCGGGAUAAGCCUGGGAAACUGGGUCUAAUACCGGAUAUGACCUCCUAUCGCAUGGUGGGUGGUGGAAAGAUUUAUCGGUGCAGGAUGGGCCCGCGGCCUAUCAGCUUGUUGGUGGGGUAAUGGCCUACCAAGGCGACGACGGGUAGCCGACCUGAGAGGGUGACCGGCCACACUGGGACUGAGACACGGCCCAGACUCCUGCGGGAGGCAGCAGUGGGGAAUAUUGCACAAUGGGCGAAAGCCUGAUGCAGCGACGCCGCGUGAGGGAUGACGGCCUUCGGGUUGUAAACCUCUUUCAGCAGGGACGAAGCGCAAGUGACGGUACCUGCAGAAGAAGCACCGGCUAACUACGUG
rnacentral:rRNA from 1 species